GUAAAUGGAAGCUCACAGAAUUAAGUGAGUUAUCUCUGGAAAAGAGCAGAGCUGCAGAUGCAUCUGUGUAAGAUGUAGUAAUAUCAAAUGUUACGUUCUUCAGUGUUGGAGUUUACUGGUCACUCAAACUGCAGAGUCCACAAUUGCAGGCAGUACUAUUCAGAUAGAGUAAGAAUCAAAUGGGGACCCAGGAGGUGUGUGAUGCGAUGGCCUCAUACGAAGGGGACCAAUGUCUUGAGGAAUCAGAUGUUUCAUGCUAAUUUAAAUUUUUGGCACCUGUAGGCUUCGAUUACGUGAAAGCUGAAAGAUUGCUUUCUAAAUAAUGGCAACGGAUUUCCUGACAAUGCAAAGAACAGAUGCCACCAACUUUCAGGUCUACAGAAAUUGCAUAAAGAGUAUAUACUGUACAUAAGGCACAGAUGUGAUUGCUCAGGGAGAGCAAAAAGACAUGUAGAGCUUAAUUUCCACCCAUGAGAUAGUAUUACAGGGUUUCCUAGAAUUAAGAAAUGAUGUAUGUGAGGGAAAACUGAGAGAGAGACUUCCCAGAAGAGGUGGCUCUUAGACUGGCCCUUGAAAA